rnacentral:lncRNA from 1 species
CAUCUGCCUCUGCAGAUACUGGAUACUGGCUUUAAACAGUUAGUUGGGGAAUGUGGCUCUCAUCCACAUUGUCCACAAGAAGGGCAUCUUCCAAGCCCUGGGUUUCCCUUUUCUCUUUCCUAGGGCUCAGAACCCUUCCCUGCUGCAAGCAGGCCAUGCUGGCAUAUCUGGCAGAGGAACAGCAGACAAAAGCAUCUAAGCCUGGGACUAACCACAGCCUCUGUCCUGAGCAGGAUCCCCAGCAAGGAGACCUGUAAUCCAAACACCCAAGUGGGUCUCAAAACGACAACCUGAGAUCAAGAGUCACAUGCUCCUCUGACUGAGCCAGCCAGGGGCUUUUUAACUAGGUAAAUUUUUAAGAUCUUAACUGGCUUUAUUCAAUGAUUCAUGGAUCAA